AAGAUGGCAGCAACUCACCACAACUCAACAGUGCUGAGCGCACCGGCUGAUUUCCACUUCAACACGAGAAGGCAAAAUGAAAAGCUUCACAUGAAAUAAACCCUCACACCUUUAACAGCAUUUUCAAUUAUUCCACAUGACAUGAGGCCACCAUCCUCCCCGACUAAUUCAGAAGCGAAUGCGCCAACAUUUCUGACAGAAAGAAGUCAAUGACCUUUAAGCUGGAAAUGCUCUGCUGGUGCGGCGCCCUCCCUGUCUUUUUCCAUCAGACCUGGAGGUGCAGAGCGAAGACACAUCCUUUAGCUGAGGAACGUCUCUCGGCUUAGUUUCAUCCUCUAAAAAGCCACACUGCUGAGGCGGGAUCUUCUGUCAAACUGGCUUCUGUUGAAUCUGUCAUGAGAGAGCUCACAGCGGGAGUCAAGAUGCUGAAGUGUUGGAGCCACAGAGAUGCGUCACAUGAAACAUGUCUCUUUGUCAAAGUCAGAGGGAGAGUCUCAGUGCGUCAUCUAAUUGUAUAAACUGAACUUGUUCAAACACGUGGUUUGGUCUUUUACACCACAGGUUGCUUCAUCAGUUUGUGACGAACCCAAAGCAGUUGAUCUAUCAGCUUCAUGUUUUCUAUUCCUUUUUAAAAGAACUUCCCUUAUAAAAUAUUUGACUAAAUUGGGUUAAACUCGGCCUGUUUUUACUGGCACCUCUUUGAACCCSUUUUAUAUCUGUGCUCUGGUGAAGUCAUUGUUUUUCAUGUACAAAAUAAAGAACAUUUGGGUCCC